rnacentral:miRNA from 11 species
AUUUAUAUAUAUAUAUAUGUGUGUGUGUGUGUGUGUGUGUGUGUAUAUAUAUAUAUACACACACACACACACACACACACACACACACACACACAC